rnacentral:tRNA from 1 species
GUUGGGAUAGCUCAGUUGGUAGAGCAGAGGA